GGCUUUGUUUCAAGAUGCUGGAGGCAAUCACUGCUCAUUGGAAGAAGGUAUUAACUUGUCUCUGUGGGAGAAUCCUCACCUUGAUGCAGGAAGGAAAACAAGACUUGUUAAAUUGAAGCUGUGGAGUCUGGAGCUACCUUCAUCUUUGCGUGCAAAGACCUGAGGAAUUUCUCAAGAGGUGGAUUGUAUCUUUAGGGUGUAAGAAAAGAGGGCAAGAAAAACUCCGUGUAGAAACCAACGACUGUGGUUCCUUUCCCAGGAAGUAUUUGCAGAGUAGAUUACAAGCAUAAAUGACCAUAACCGCACAGCAGGGCAAAACUGCCUCUGGAGGUGACACAGGCUGAAGGUCAAAGGAGAACAGAAAGCGAAAGCUUUUCUGUCUGAGCUUUAUUUAUGAGUUGGAAUUCACUAAGCCAUUCUCAAGCAUUCUGCUGCUCAUUUUCCUAGCUGUGAAAUAAUUCAGCCAUAGGCAAUAAAAGGUUAAGGAUCAAAAGUGAAAGCAGAGAUGAACCUUAUGAAUAAGGAUUACAGCUGUCGGCUUAGGUAAGAGAAGAUUCACCUAGGAGCUGGCAUUCACUGCCCACUACCAAGACCCAGGCGCUAUGUAGUAACAAAAGAAUCCAGGGUAGAAAAAGAGAGUCACGUGUGCUUUGAGCCCUUCUAGAGGACCCAAGGGGAGCACUCAAGGAUGUGUGGGUCUAGCAGAGAGGGUGGCCAUGCUGCUUCUACGCUGUCUAAUGGUGCCUUUGUUUUUCUUAACCAUGAUUUUGCGGCAGUGAGAAUGUAUGAGAUUUUUUUUUUUCUGAGUCAUACGUUAAACAAUCUGAAAGCUGCUGGGGUUGCAGAAGUUCCCCUGAGCUUCCCAGCCUUGUCUGGAUUCUUCAGGCACCGGCCAUUACUCAACCUGCUCUCACCGAGCCCUGUUUGCUUUCUUCUCCAACAGACAGGUCUUCUGAGGGCUAGCUAGCAUCUUCUCCUUUUAUCCCUCUUUCCUCUCUAUACACAAAAUUAUGUCCAAUGUGGUUAGAUAUCUGAUCAAGAAAUAUUUAACUCAAAUAAGGCAAAUUUAAAGUUUAAAAUUAAAAAAAUGUCCAGUUUCUGCUCAUUGACUAAACCAGGCUAAGGUGUCGUGGAAUGUCCACGGAACCUGGGUUUUUAAGGUGAUCCGUGCCUUUCAAAGUCCUAAGGUGGCAGAGAAUUUCAGGCAUUGGAAAAGAAUGUGGUGAAAAUUUUCUACAAUAUUUUGUAGGAAGAAAUGUUCCAAGGCAGUGGUUCUCCACCUGUGAGUCCCACACAACCCCUUUGGGGGUUGUCUAUCAGAUAUUUACAUUAUGGUUCAUAAUAGUACCAAAAUUAAAGUUAUGAAGUAGAAAUGAAAUAAUUUCAUGAUUAGUGGUCACCACAACAUGAAGAACUAAGGGCCACAGCAUUGGGAAGGUUAAGAACCACUGGUCUGAAGGGUUUCUUCCCAACAGGUUAGGGCACUUAGACUUAUUUUAUACCUUUCAUAGUGUCUUCCCUUCUUCUAUGACUGAAUAUAUAUAUGAUUGAAACCUAAAAUCACUAGCUAGGACCUGGGGAAAUGGCUCAGUGGAAAAGGGCCAGGUAAGGGUGAAUACUUGAUUUCUAUGAUCCCUGGCACCCUCUGGCUGUGGCCAAACACUUGGUCCAUCACUUCAACACUGUCAUGUCAGAGACUCACAAGUUGCCAGGCUAGCGAGGUAGCUCCACAUUGAGUGAGAGGCCUGCUUCAAGGCAAUGAUGCAGAGAUAAUAGAGCAAGACACCCAGUGUCCUUCCCUGGCUUCUACAUAGGCAUGCACCUCCACAUGUGUGCAGAUACACAAGACUACACACACCACAUAUGCUUCCUCACAUUCGCCAGACAAACAGAACACUCUAGCACUGGUGGGUCUGCUGUGGCAGGAUGGUGACACUGAGGGAAGCCUUACUGACUGCAGCUCCCUAGAAAGAGGGUCAUGAACGUCCUCUACCUAGGCAGUUAUUGAAUCUAAUUUGUUUUCAUGUAUUCAUUUCCAGGGCUAGUAUGGAUGUAUUUGUUUAUUUUUGAGGCAGAGUCGCUCACAGCCCAGCCUAGCCAUGAACUUUCCUGUAACCAAGGUGACCUUGAACCUCUGAUCCUCUUCGUUCUGUCUCCCAAUCACAGGUGAGCACUACCACCCUCUGCACAGUGCUGCGGCUCUGUGCAUGCUCCCUAAGCGCUCGACCAGACAGGUACACCUCUGCUUUUCCACUAUAAUUAUAUUCGAUUAAUUGCUUUGCUUUUGAAAAUUGCCCAUUUUCUCAAAUAUGAAAACUCCAUUAAAAUUCUGAGUUUUUUUUUUCUUUUUAAUAACCAAUCAAAAAACCAAAGCAUACCAUUGUCAGCGGUUUUCUGGUGGGGGCGGUAUAACACACUUGUUUUAACUCUCUCUCUCUUCUCUCUCUGACAAAAUAAGAAACAAAAGUAAACAAGGAACAACCCCCCCCAUCAACAACACAGAAAUGAAAGUUAAAAUGAGCAGGAAAAAAAAUGAAUAAAAUUUAAAAAUACCAAAACAAAACAAAAAGCUUCACAAAAAUACCACUGAGUUUGUUUAUUUUGUCAACUAUUCCUGGCCAUCUCGGAGGUCUGACCUGUGUGUGGUUCAUAUAUUUGGUGACAUUCCAAU
rnacentral:lncRNA from 1 species